rnacentral:rRNA from 1 species
UGGGGAAUAUUGCACAAUGGGCGCAAGCCUGAUGCAGCCAUGCCGCGUGUGUGAAGAAGGCCUUCGGGUUGUAAAGCACUUUUGUCCGGAAAGAAAUCCUUGGCUCUAAUACAGUCGGGGAUGACGGUACCGGAAGAAUAAGCACCGGCUAACUACGUGCCAGCAGCCGCGGUAAUACGUAGGGUGCAAGCGUUAAUCGGAAUUACUGGGCGUAAAGCGUGCGCAGGCGGUUUGCUAAGACCGAUGUGAAAUCCCCGGGCUCAACCUGGGAACUGCAUUGGUGACUGGCAGGCUAGAGUAUGGCAGAGGGGGGUAGAAUUCCACGUGUAGCAGUGAAAUGCGUAGAGAUGUGGAGGAAUACCGAUGGCGAAGGCAGCCCCCUGGGCCAAUACUGACGCUCAUGCACGAAAGCGUGGGGAGCAAACAGGAUUAGAUACCCUGGUAGUCCACGCCCCUAAACGAUGUCAACUAGUUGUUGGGGGCAUUCAUUUUCCCUUAGUAACGUAGCUAACGCGUGAAGUUGGACCGCCUGGGGAGUACGGUCGCAAG